rnacentral:misc_RNA from 1 species
GAGAAGAACGCAGCGAAAUGCGAUAAGUAAUGUGAAUUGCAGAAUUCAGUGAAUCAUCGAAUCUUUGAACGCACAUUGCGCCCGCCAGUAUUCUGGCGAGCAUGCCUGUUCGAGCGUCAUUUCAACCAUCAAGCCCCAGGCUUGUGUUGGAGCCCUGCGGCUGCCGCAGCCUCCCAAAACCAGUGGCGGGCUCGCUAUCACACCGAGUGCAGUAGUUUACUCUUCGCUCAGGGCGUGUGGCGGGUGCUAGCCGUGAAACCCCCAACUUCUCAAGGUUGACCUCGGAUCAGGUAGGAAUACCCGCUGAACUUAAGCAUAUCAAUAAGCGGAGGA